UUGAUCAAAUCUGCCACCACUAAGAGUGGAGGGAUCUAUCUAUUUGCCAAUCAGAAGGGCUGUGAUGGAGACCGUCUGUACUAUGAUGGGUGUGCUAUGAUUGCCAUCAAUGGAGAAUAUUGUUGCCAGAGGGAGCGCAGUUCUCACUUGAGGAUGUAGAGGUUGUCACAGCCACUCUUGAUCUGGAAGAUGUUCGCAGCUAUCGAGGAGAGAGGUGUCACCCACACAUGGAAUAUGAGCACAAACCUUAUACAAGGAUCAAAACGGACUUCUCUCUGUCUGACUGUGAUGACAGGUGUCUGCCCACACACCAGCCUGUGGAGUGGAUUUUCCACACGCCAGAAGAAGAGAUCAGUCUUGGUCCUGCCUGUUGGUUGUA